AUAUAAUGAAAGAGAAACACAACUGUCUCUUAAGACAGUUAGAACAACAGCGUAUACAAGGUUACAAACCAAAAUAAGCCAUGGAUGAGUUCUUUCAAUUAAACAACUUUUGGAAUAUGGAAUGGCCUAAUGAGGAUGUUUUGGUGAAUACAAGUGCUUUUGUUAGUUACAUAAAACAACCCAUUGGAGAGCUUGCAUCAAAGAGCCAUGGCAAUGAGUCGAAUCAUAGGAACUUAAACAAGAGGAUGAUCGAGUUCUUGAAGACGACUUCUACCAGGAUGAGAGUCGAGACAACUAUUGAAACCGAGAACGAAAGAAACCAUAAGCAUAUGAUCAGUGAGAGGAUGAGAAGAGAGAAGCACAAGCAAAGUUACUUAGCAUUGCAUAAACUGUUACCCGUUGGAACUAAGAGUGAUAAGAACUCAAUACUCCACAAGGCAACCAAGAAUAUAGAGGACUUGCAGAAUUACAAGGAGCAGUUGGAGAGGAGAAACAGUGAACUGGAGAUGGUUUUGGCUGGAAAAGUUGAUGAAAAUAAGCUAGAAAAGGCACUAAUUAAGUUAAAGGUGGCAUAUCCUGCAUCAGGAAUAGAUUCUAUGUUGGAGGUUCUUAAAUGUUUAGAAAAUACUGGAUCCAAAUUAAGAGCCAUUCAAUCAAAUUUUUCACAACAUGAAUAUUCUGCAUCAUUGGAGAUUGAAACCAAGAUAAGAGCAGCAGACGUAGAGAAGGCAGUACAAAGAACUUUAUCUGAAGUUGAAGGAAAAUUUCAGUCUCCGUUCCAAGGAAAAGGACGCUGAUUUGGGUGCCAUUCUUGACCACUCGAUUUGUCAAUGCGAAGAAAAAUAUUAAGAUGUCCUAUGUCAGCUAGCUGUCAGCUAAGAAUAAUAUAAUGCAAGCACUUUCAAGGCGAGGAAGUGACAUCCCAUCAUCUCUUUGACAAAUAUCUCCAAGGCAGCAAAGUAACAUAUCAUCGCCUCAUUGGCCACUAACUUUCGAAGCCUUAGGAACGUGGUCUAACGUCUUAUAGACUAAGACCUUUGAUGUAAAUUAAGUUGGGAAAAAAUUAUUUCUCAAGCCUUAAGUUUAGGAGAAUUUAAUUUUAAGAGAACAAGUUUACAUUUUCAAAUCAGGUGGUAAUUAAAUUCGCAUUUCUAUUCUAGGCAGGAAUUCAAAUUAAAGGAUUAUAACAUUCA